rnacentral:rRNA from 1 species
GCUUAAUACAUGCAAGUCGAACGGUAAGGUCCCGAGUUUACUCGGGAUACACGAGUGGCGCACGGGUGAGUAACGCGUACGCAACCUACCCUUAAGAGGGGGAUAGCCCUGGGAAACUGGGAGUAAUCCGCCAUGUGAUAUAAAUUCUGCAUGGGAUUUAUAUUAAAGCUUAGGUGCUUAAGGAUGGGCGUGCGUUAGAUUAGGUAGUUGGUGAGGUAACGGCUCACCAAGCCGACGAUCUAUAGGGGGCGUGAGAGCGUGAUCCCCCACACGGGUACUGAGACACGGACCCGACUCCUACGGGAGGCAGCAGUAAGGAAUAUUGGACAAUGGGCGGCAGCCUGAUCCAGCCAUCCCGCGUGAAGGAAGACUGCCCUCUGGGUUGUAAACU